CAAAGCACUACCCUAUUUUUCAGUGCCUGCCAUUUGAGGCUUUCUAAGUGUCACACAAACAUUCAUGAACUUCUCUGUGCUAGCCUGCAGAAAGUAAGCUGGCAGUACGUGCCUUUCCCCCUCCUCCCCCUCAUCACCCAUUUAUUCACCAUUUUCAGAGUUUUCUCUGUUCAUUUUAGUCUGGUUCAAGUGCCUGUGCUGCUUCUCCCAUGCACACAUGUGAUGAAGGGCUGGCUGUGUUCUCCUUCCCUGCCUCUGACAUGAAACAAUCCUCCACAAUCCAUGUCUGCGUGCUGUGCACUCGCUAACCAGAGAUCCAAAAGCACGGAGCAGCAUCUAUCAGAGCUGUACAACAAACGCAGCACUGCAGAGAUAGCCGAGCUCUAAUCACUCAGCUCCAGGCACUUUGCUCUUCAUCAUACUUGUCUAGACAGACUAAAUGGUCUCUGCGAGACAGCCCCGGUGUCAGCCAGGGAAGCGGCUGCGUUUUCCAUACGGAUGAACUCCCAAACAGGUGUAGACCCAGCUCAGGUGGAACUGUGUGUCAGAAGCAGAGCUAUUCUCUCCUCAAAACAGCUGCUGGUGCAAAACCCAAGGGCUCUGUCACACAUAAAACUGCACAGAGCAAGAGGCAAGUGUGCUCCUUUCCUCAAAAGGCACAGAGUAAACCUUCAGCCUCAGCAGCCAGAGAUCCAAACCACACCUCAGUCCAUUGUCCUGCUGCAGGGAGGAGAUUUGUGCAGUCCUUUCACUGCUCCAGAUGCUGCAGCCCCAAAAUCAGUGUCACGUUCUGCCUCUCCACAGCUGCAGGAGGAUGAAGGAUGCUCAGUAACACCUCAGUGCUAGAAAAGAACCCACCAUGGUUUGAUCUGCUAAAGAUAACAAAACCAUCCUUCUCCUCCAGAAGAAAACUGCUUGAGCACUGCUCCUUCAGAGCCAAAGCUCUGUUCAGUAACAGUCAAC